rnacentral:rRNA from 1 species
AACGAACGCUGGCGGCAGGCUUAACACAUGCAAGUCGAGCGCCCCGCAAGGGGAGCGGCAGACGGGUGAGUAACGCGUGGGAAUCUACCGAGCCCUAAGGAAUAGCUCCGGGAAACUGGAAUUAAUACCUUAUACGCCCUUUGGGGGAAAGAUUUAUCGGGGUUUGAUAAGCCCGCGUUGGAUUAGCUAGUUGGUGGGGUAAAGGCCUACCAAGGCGACGAUCCAUAGCUGGUCUGAGAGGAUGAUCAGCCACAUUGGGACUGAGACACGGCCCAAACUCCAACGUGGGGCAGCAGUGGGGAAUAUUGGACAAUGGGCGCAAGCCUGAUCCAGCCAUGCCGCGUGAGUGAUGAAGGCCCUAGGGUUGUAAAGCUCUUUCACCGGUGAAGAUAAUGACGGUAACCGGAGAAGAAGCCCCGGCUAACUUCGUGCCAGCAGCCGCGGUAA